CUUUAACCAUAAAAGUCUCUCUCUCUUAGCCCCAAAAACCAAACCCUCUGCACCAAAUCCCAAACCCCAAAACCCCAAUAGAAAGUGAAAUCUCUCAAAUUUCAAAACGAACCCAUAUCUUAAGCCACUGCAAGACCUUUAGCUAUAACUAUAUAAACAGAAAUUUUAUGGAUUCAGAUCAGGGAAAGCUAUUUAUUGGUGGGAUUUCGUGGGAGACAACCGAGGAGAAGCUUAACGACUACUUCUCUCAAUAUGGCGACGUUUUACAGACUGUGGUAAUGCGAGACAAGACCACUGGCAGACCCAGAGGCUUUGGCUUUGUCGUUUUCGCAGAUCCUUCCAUCCUCGAUAGGGUUCUUCAAGAUAAGCAUACCAUCGACGGUAGAACGGUUGAGGCAAAGAAAGCUUUGUCAAGAGAGGAGCAACAAACAAGUGUCAGGGCUGGAAACCUGAAUCCUGCUAGAAACACUGGCAACAGCGGAAAUAUCAGGACCAAAAAGAUUUUUGUUGGAGGGUUGCCUCCCACUCUUACUGAUGAUGGAUUCCGUCAGUAUUUUGAAGCUUAUGGCCAUGUUACUGAUGUAGUAAUAAUGUAUGACCAGAACACCCAACGGCCUCGUGGAUUUGGAUUUAUUUCCUUUGACAGUGAGGAUGCUGUUGACCAGGUCUUGCACAAAACUUUUCACGAUUUGAAUGGUAAGCAAGUUGAAGUAAAGCGGGCUCUUCCUAAAGAUGCUAAUCCUGGUGGGGGAAGCCGUUCUAUGGGUGGUGGUGCCAGUGGUGGUGGUGCUGGUGGUGGCUAUCAGGGCUAUGGUGCUUCUGGGGGCAAUUCAAACUCAUAUGAUGGUCGAAUGGAUUCAAAUAGGUACAUGCAGCCUCAGAGCACAGGAGGUGGCUUUCCUCCUUAUGGUUCAUCUGGUUAUAGUGCACCUGGUUAUGGAUACAGUCCUGCCAAUAAUAGUGUUGGAUAUGGUGGUUACGGUAGUUAUGGUGGUGCCAGUGCUGGCUAUGGCGGACCUGCUGGUGCUGCGUAUGGGAAUCCUAAUGUCCCAAGUCCUGGGUAUGCAAGCGGCCCACCUGGUGCCCCUAGAAGCUCAUGGAGCGGUCAAGCUCCUUCUGGCUAUGGUUCCAUGGGCUAUGGAACUGCUGCUUCUUGGGGGGCGCCAAAUACUGGUGCUGGUAGCGGUGGUCCUGGUUCAACUCCUGCAGGUCAAUCUCCUAGUGGGACUGCUGGGUAUGGGAAUCAAGGUUAUGGGUAUGGUAAUUAUGGUGGAAAUGAUGGGUCUUAUGGGAAUCCAACUGGAUAUGGGGCUGUUGGGGGGCGUUCUGGGGGUACUCCAAACAGUAAUGUUGGGGGUGCAGGUGAACUACAGGGGAGUGGCAGUGGUUACAUGGGAAGUGGCUAUGGUGAUGCAAAUGGAAAUCCAGGGUAUGGAAAUGCAGGUUGGAGGUCUGAGCCAUCACUAGCUUCUGGAAAUUAUGGGACUCCUCAGGCAAAUGGACCUCAUGGUGGGCAAGUUGGUUACGGUGGGGGGUAUGGUGGUGGUGCUCAGACUCGGCAAGGCCAACAACAGUGAUAACGAACACAUUGAUGCCAACUGGAUCUUCAUUGUUGUUUUAUGGGUACCUCCUGCUUUUCUCAUGAGGUCCUCCAAAGAUCUCUUGUUCUCUGCCUGGGAGGAGUGGAUCAAAUUGGAUGCGGACACUCAUUGGGACCGGAGGAGAUGCUCGAGUUCUAAGGUGGAGUCACGUGUCCACUCAUGGCCCGAGCUUCAUAGUGGGUGUGUGUUCAGUGAGGGGGGUUUUUCAGCGUGGACUGGAAUUUGAAGAGGGCGUAACAGUUGAAAUUGUGAAGUUAACCUGAGAGAGGCUAUUUUUCAGCUAGGCGGUGUCACCACUGUCAAUCUUGUUUGCAGAUUAUUGGCAUUACAAGUUAUAAAUUUCUCAAUCAUUCCAGGUCCUGGUGGCUAGUCAAUUUUGUGGGGCAAACAUCUUGUGGUACGUUGAUUUGAGCUGUUAGAUUCUCUGUUGACAAGAUGUGGCAUGCUGAUUGUUUAGGCUAUGGUGUGAUGCAUUGGAGUAGAUAUGUCAUUCCAAAAGUUUAGAGCACCAGAGGCAUUUUUAAUAACCGAAGCGUUGGUAUAUUUUGGAAUGAAGAAAAUGACUUUAAUCAUGUUAAUAUCAAUUUCUUUUAAUAGAAAAGAGGAUAAGCAACAUGCAAAUGGUCAUUGCUUGUCUACUGUGAUGCAUUUUUUAAUA